ACUAUGGAGUGUACAAGAACCUGUGAGUAGAUAUGAUCUCGGUCAAUCCAAAGCAUACACGAUGAAGUAGUAA
ncrna:unclassified sequences RAGATH-18 RNA